rnacentral:misc_RNA from 1 species
AAGUCGUAACAAGGUUUCCGUAGGUGAACAAGGAUCAUUAACACGUAUCCAACGUUAAACAACCCCGUGAACUUCAGCCUGCUCUCGUAGCCCACGCGGCAACAGCAAUCCCGGUAAAUCAUUGACGACCAGUUUUGAUUCGGGACCUCUGUUACGAUGUGAGAAGUUACAUCCCCAAGCAGAAUCCAGAGAAUGAAAGGAUCACUGGCUGCGCAAGGAUAACGCCUCACGGUUGCUAGAGGUCGAUCACCGACCGGCAGACAUGUCACAGGGUCCCCAUCUAAGCGGUAAAAAAAAACCGAACAACUGUUAACAAUGGAUAUCUUGGUUCUC